GGGGUUGUGGCUCAGUAGAGCGCUCACUUGGUGCGUGUGAGGCCCUGGGUUCGAUCCUCAGCACCA
rnacentral:tRNA from 1 species